rnacentral:lncRNA from 1 species
CUUCAUGAACUGCUACCCAAUGAAGAGAUCCAUUAAGGUAAAUCCCAGGAAUAUCUCCAUUUAAAAUUCUGUAAGGGACACCAAAGGUACUCAGACAUGUAGCUUGUCCAUCAUUAUUCAGGGAGUAAACAUCAACUAGAGAAUCACAGUCAUCAUAAAUAGACAAACUGCGGCGAACAUUUACAAGUUUGUAUUCACCAACAACAGAAUCAUAAGCAAGGCCAAAAGCAGAACAAUCAUGAACAUAUAAGGAUUUUCCUACAUUAAAAAACUUGCACUCUUUAGUACAAGGAUUCAGUAGGCAUAACUUAGACGGUGGCAUACACAAGCAAAUAAACCCAUUACAAGUAGCAAAAACUUCGGUUUCAGUACCAAUUUCUUUAAAUGGAUUUAUGAUAUGUUCUGCAUCAACUUCCUCAUCAUCAAAAGAAGAAAAGGAAGAAGAAUAAAACUGUGUCCUUCGUUUAAUACUAUAAAUAGUUGAUAAGAAAUUGGGACAAUUUAUUUCCAUUGAUCGAUUCAAGUGGGUUUGAAUAAAAUUAGAAAAAGGAUCUGUCAUCAAAUCGCACCAAGGUUUGUAUACCAACCUGAAUUGUUCUCUGAGUGAUUUUGCUGGAAGCCUCGUGAGAAUCUCGAAGAUUAUAUCAUCAUGAAUAAUAGCAUCUGUUGUUGACAUUAUUGUUUUUUGAAUUGCAAGAUUCUCUUCUUCGAAUCGUGAACCAGUAUGUGUUGUUGACAUUUUUUUCUAAAUGUAUUUAGGGUUUCUGAGAAUUUUUAGAUCGAGAGAGCUAUCCGCCGCCACUCUUUCUCUCUAGCAGUAUCGGGUUUUAUAGAUCAAAAGAAUUGGGCCGUAGGACCAAAUUCCAAUUCUCUUCUUUCAAGUUUCAACAACUCAUAAACGUCCGUGAGCCCGUAACCAGAUCUACAGACAGAAACUUUGGCUAUGAACUCUAUAACGUACAGGAGCGAAAUAUUCUCAGCAAUAUUAUCUAUGCAAAUUUUGAGGACCAUCGUUAAUUCAUUAUACUAAAUCUUUGAGAACCAUCGUUAAUUCAUUAUACUAAAUCUUUGAUAUUUGUGUAGAUUUUGUAGAAGCAACUUAUGUCGGUAACACAUAGGGAAUAUUUGUUUUGUUUAGUUAGAUAGUUAAUAUCACCUAAAAUUUAAGUGGGGUGUGCGUGCGUCAAGAGCAGGAACAGUCAGACCAGUAAAGUUUUUGGCACUCAAAUGUCGAAAUUUGCGUUACCCCCAUUUGAAAAAAUAUAGCACUUACCCCUCAAUUGUAUGGAAAAAAUAGACGAUGUUACAAAAAUUAAUUUUUAAAUUUUCGUAAAAUAAAAUAUUUUGAUAAUACCAAAACUACUCUUUUUUAAACAUGUAAAUAAUAAACAUAAUUAGUAAAAUCCCACCACUGAAACAUAAAUAAUUAACAAUACCCCAAAUCGAUUUGCAAAAGAAUUUGAAGGAGAAGAUAAAUUUUUAGGAAAAAAGAUGAAAUUUGUUUAAGAAAUUUGUUAAAUUUAAAGAACAUGAAAUUUAUUUGAGAAAAAUUAGGUUUAUUUAUAAACUUUGGGGGAUUUUGGAUUUUUGGAAAAAACAACAAAGUUGACCGUUAGAUUAAGUACUAAAUAGAUGGAUAAGAUUAUGACACAUGUCAUUAUUACUAGAAUAAAAAAGGUACUUUUGGUAUUAUCGAAAUAUUUUAUUUAAAAAAAUUUUAAAAAUUGAUUUUUGUAACACCGUUAAAUUUUUCCAUCCAGUUGGGGGUAACUGCUAUAUUUUUUCAUAUAGGGGUAACUCAAAUUUCGACUAUCAAAUGGGAGGUAAGUGCCUAAAGAGUUAAUUGUUUUUUCUGUCUAAGAAAUAAUUUCUUGCAUCUAUCUUAUUUUUUUUUAUUUAUUGUAGAUUAUGAAACUGGUGCCAUAUUAUGGAGAGUUUGAUUCCAUACACUGAUGUGGAUCUGUUGGUGCAGAAUCCUUAAAUUGAAGAAGAUUAACAUUUCAUCAGACUCCAAGAGAUAACACAGCUAUUAAUACACGGAGUCUAUAUUUUUAAGUGCACACAGUCUAUUACAAACAUGAACACAAACAAACUGUUUUGCAUAAGUUGAUGCCCAUGGUGAAUGAGCUGCAAAGUUAGUACAAAUAACGUUAAGGUGAUGGAUAUCUUCAGUAAAAUUUAAGAAUACAUGAGAGGAAUGUGAGAAAUCAAUCCUUUAAUAAGAGAUUAGGAGUUAAUUGAAAAGUAAAAUUAAAUUGAACAAGGCAGAGCCUAGAGGUUAAAGAUACAAAAGAAGAAGGUGAGAAAUCACACUGUGAGCAAACAAAUAAAUACAAACAGAUUACAGAGGUAUCACCAGUCCUUUAACAACCCCAUCACAAUUGCAAAAAAAGCUGUUGGCCCACGACAUACUACUUUAUCGUUUACGUCCCUAUAAAACAGCCAUUCCAGGUUAUAACAGAGAAAUCAUAUUUAACAAAAAGUAAAGAACAAAAAGUAAAGAAACGGUUCACAAAUCUUCAGAUGUGCUUCACAACACCAUGGCCAUAUUGAGUUUGCACUCUUAAUUACACACUCAACCUUCAAGCAACAAAUAAAAUGCAGGUUCAGAACUGAGAUUGUGUUACUCAGUCAAUUUAAAUCACUUAACAUUCUUCAAGUUCUAUGUGUAUAUAGGCUGUGGUUCAAUGUUCGGAAAAGACUGAUUACAAGAAGCAUGAAACUCAUUGCUGGUCGAAAUCAAUUUUGAGUUGGAACACGGGGACAAUGAAAGGAAUGUAACUAGAAAAAUAAUUUGUCUUUCAUUCAAUUGGAGGAUCUCUAACGCAUUGUGUACAUUAGGUUUUCCUAUUUUCUGGUUCCCUAACUCGCAUUCUUUAGGCAAGAAGAUAUUGCAUAUAAGACUUUUGUUAUUUUCUUUCUCCCAUAGGCAAGAAGGAACUGUGUAUUAAAAGUUUAAGUCAGUGAUAAAUAUAAAGAGUUUAGGUCAGGUGGCUAUAUACAUUAGACAGUGGCUUGCGUUUCUUAUUUAUUCUUUCUCAUAUGCAGAAAGAAGCUACUUAUAAAGAGUAUAAAGAAGGUAAAAUGAUUAAAAAAUACAAUGUACUUUCACAAAUUUUUCACUUUAUACAAUGUACUAAAAUCACGCCAAAAAAUCAAUUUACUUUGAAAAAAAAUUCACGUUAUACAAUCUGUCUAAAAUUGACUAACGGACUGCUUACGUGACUAAUAAUUAUCUACAUGUAUUUAUUUUUUUUAAAGAAAUGCUGAGUUGUAAAAUUAAAAUCAACACAUCUACUUUAAAACGUGUCAUCAGAUCAUGUCAACAAAUGUUUACAUCUAAACCGUCCAUUAAUCCCAAGAUGUUAGAGAUAUAGAUGUAUUAUUUUUUUUAUUGUUAUCUCUAUGAUAGAAAAUAUCAAACAUAGGAACUAUGAAACCCUAAAUCAACAUUUCUUCCAUCUCUCUUUCUCAUUGCAACAUUGAACCCUAAAUCUUCUCUUUAAUUCUUCAAACCCUAAUUUUAAUUAACCAUUUUCUCACAACUAAAACCCCUACUUUCAAUCAAACACUAAUGUAUGGUGAAUUGGUGAAUCUCAAAAAGAAUCGGUGUGGAACAAUCUUGUUGUGUGUGUACAAGAAAAAUCUUCUUUCAAAUAAGUAGUAAGUAGUAGUUAGUUUAACACUAAAAGAUGAAGACACAAAAGCUAGGGUUUGAAAUUGAAUUGGAGAUUUGAAUUGAGGAUUUACAGAUUUGGGGAUUUUUACAAUUGUGAAUUCAAUUGUUAAAAUAGGGAAGAAGGGGGUCAAUAAUAUGAGAAACAUGUGCCUCAUUUGUUUAAUUUUUUUUUUAAAAAAAAUACACGUAGAUAAUUAUUGGCCACGUAAGCAAUCUGUUAGCUAAAGUUUUAAACAGAUUGUAUAACGUGAAUUUUUUUUCAAAGUAAAUUGUUAUUUUGACGUGAUUUUUAGUACAUUGUAUAAAGUGAAAAAAUUGUGAAAAAGUACGUUGUAUUUUUUGAUCAUUUUACCUCAAAAGAAUUUUAGCAAUUGUAACAUUAAAAGAGUUUAGACCAUGUGAUCCUAUAUACAUUACACCACUGAAUCGCUCCAUCCCCUUUUCUCGUCUAAUAUGUAUUAAAAUAUUAAAUUAUAAUGAGCUUUCAUUCAUACGCAGAAACAAAUUGCGUAAAUUAUAAACAUAAAAAAAAAAAUACACAACAACAACAUUCGCAUAGAUUAAAAUUAUAGAAAAACCAAAUUUUAGGUAUUAGAGAUUGUUUAGAAUAGGAUUUUCUGACAAUUUCAGAACGCUCUAUUCUCCUAUAUCCUUUCUAGCGCUAAUGUGUAUUCUAUCCCUCCUGCUCUGCACAACGCAUUAGUCUUAGAGAUGCUCUUAUUCUCAUUUUUUUUAAGUUGUCAUUCUAAUGUUACAUUCAAAUUCAGCAAAGAGGCACUAACAAGAGUUGCAUUUGUGUGAUUUUGUCAUUUAAGUGUACAAGCUAGCAAUUUGACAACUAGAGUUUUUCACAAUGGUUAAUGGUUAUCUAGAUGCCUGUCUAUGUAUACAACUGGCACAACCAACGCAACAUAAAACAAAGACAGAAAAAGAAAACAGUUGCAUACCGUUGAAAAGUGAUGUUGAAUUUAGCACUCCAUCUUCACCAUUGUACCUUAGUAGCCGAUUUGAAUGGGACAAGACUCGGAAUGUAAGACAUUACUUUAAGAGGCGCAUUUUUGAUUCCACGAAUCUUGAGCUUUCUAGUUGUUCUUUGUUUUGAAUCAUAAAGAACUAAAUGGAUGCUAUCAAAGAUUAAAAUCUUAUCACUAUUGAAGAAGUGCAAUGGUAUCACCCGCCUACCAAUUUCGUCAUUCUUGUUAAGAAUGGUGCAUGACCUCAAACGGCAUACCGAAGGAAAAAGUGUUUCAUCAAUGGCAAAUUGUUGAGUCCAUGAAUCCAUUAGACCAUAAUUGUUCAUUGCCCAAAUUUGAAUAUUACCAGUAGGGAAAUAACAUAACAUAGAAAGUUUUCCUCUCAGAAUCCCAACUCCGGUAAUACUAGCUCUUUCCCUAAACUGAUUAGGUGACAACAGGUGUUGAAAGCUUGUCCCCUUCAUGUCAAAAGAGACUAUAGUUUCAAUCUCAAGUCUAUCUUCAUGAACUGCUACCCAAUGAAGAGAUCCAUUAAGGUAAAUCCCAGGAAUAUCUCCAUUUAAAAUUCUGUAAGGGACACCAAAGGUACUCAGACAUGUAGCUUGUCCAUCAUUAUUCAGGGAGUAAACAUCAACUAGAGAAUCACAGUCAUCAUAAAUAGACAAACUGCGGCGAACAUUUACAAGUUUGUAUUCACCAACAACAGAAUCAUAAGCAAGGCCAAAAGCAGAACAAUCAUGAACAUAUAAGGAUUUUCCUACAUUAAAAAACUUGCACUCUCUAGUACAAGGAUUCAGUAGGCAUAACUUAGACGGUGGCAUACACAAGCAAAUAAACCCAUUACAAGUAGCCAAAACUUCGGUUUCAGAACCAAUUUCUUUAAAUGGAUUUAUGAUAUGUUCUGCAUCAACUUCCUCAUCAUCAAAAGAAGAAAAGGAAGAAGAAUAAAACUGUGUCCUUCGUUCAAUACUAUAAAUAGUUGAUAAGAAAUUGGGACAAUUUAUUUCCAUUGAUCGAUUCAAGUGGGUUUGAAUAAAAUUAGAAAAAGGAUCUGUCAUCAAAUCGCACCAAGGUUUGUAUACCAAACUGAAUUGUUCUCUGAGUGAUUUUGCUGGAAGCCUCGUUAGAAUCUCGAAGAUUAUAUCAUCAUGAAUAAUAGCAUCUGUUGUUGACAUUAUUGUUUUUUGAAUUGCGAGAUUCUCUUCUUCGAAUCGUGAACCAGUAUGUGUUGUUGACAUUUUUUUCUAAAUCAAUUCGUAUUUAGGGUUUCUGAGAAUUUUUAGAUUGAGAGAGCUAUCCGCCGCCACUCUUUCUCUCUAGCAGUAUCGGGUUUUAUAGAUCAAAAGAAUUGGGCCGUACGACCAAAUUCCAAUUUUCUUCUUUCAAGUUUCAACAACUCAUAAGCGUCCGUGAGCCCGUAACCAGAUCUACAGACAGAAACUUUGGCUAUGAACUCUAUAACGUACAGGAGCGAAAUAUU